CUUCCACAUUUCACCUUGCACACAGAUAUACCCACAGAAACCCGAGAGGCACCUCCCUUGCUUUUUAGGUCCUAAUUAGGCCACUGCCACAGAUACUGGCCAUUAGAAAGCAGGGUGUGUUUCAGAAACCAAGUGUUUCGCAACAACUAAAUAAAAGAACCACUUUCAAGCAAAUAAAGGAGCGUCACUUGGGGAGAAAGAAGAAAAACCACACAGGGUCAAGCUCUGAGCAAUAUUACACAGGACCUGGAUCUGCAAAGAACAGCAGCAGCUCCUCAAAAUCCAACUGAGCCCUUGGACAAGACAGCAAAAGCCAGACCUGAAUUCAGAUUCGCAAAUGGACUGAUCUUCGAUUCUCACUGAAGAGUUUUCUUGUGGAAUUCAGAAGAGUUAUUAGUAGAAUCAGCACUCUGUCCUCAUUGGGAUAAUUUCCUUUGGACUGCUAAAUAACAGUAUCAGCUUCAGUUCUUCCAUACACUUGGCAUAAGGUAACUACUUCAUUUUAGAAUAAACAGCUGAAAAUGAGGCUAAUUAGUAAAACCACGCUAAGAAGCCCAACCUGUUGAAAAAUUAGAUCAAAGAUCUUCAGUACUCCAAAUCCUAGAUGAGAUCCUGAUUUAGAUUUCACAAGUUUCCAGCACGCAACACUUCCUGUUAACUCCAUGAGAUCCUACAGA